rnacentral:rRNA from 1 species
AUUGAACGCUGGCGGCAGGCUUAACACAUGCAAGUCGAGCGGAGUGAUGGUGCUUGCACUAUCACUUAGCGGCGGACGGGUGAGUAAUGCUUAGGAAUCUGCCUAUUAGUGGGGGACAACAUCUCGAAAGGGAUGCUAAUACCGCAUACGUCCUACGGGAAAAAGCAGGGGAUCCCUUGUGACCUUGCGCUAAUAGAUGAGCCUAAGUCGGAUUAGCUAGUUGGUGGGGUAAAGGCCUACCAAGGCGACGAUCUGUGGCGGGUCUGAGAGGAUGAUCCGCCACACUGGGACUGAGACACGGCCCAGACUCCUACGGGAGGCAGCAGUGGGGAAUAUUGGACAAUGGGGGGAACCCUGAUCCAGCCAUGCCGCGUGUGUGAAGGAGGCCUUAUGGUUGUAAAGCACUUUAAGCGAGGAGGAGGCUCUUUUGGUUAAUACCCAAGAUGAGUGGACGUUACUCGCAGAAUAAGCACCGGCUAACUCUGUGCCAGCAGCCGCAGUAA